AGCUGAAGAAGCGGUUUUGUGACGACGGUUCGUAAACUCUGUCUGGCGACGAUUUGGUUUGAUGCUAACGGACACCAUGUGUACGACAGUGACGUUGCCGGCAUGUUUGUUGCCUUUGUACGACUGGACGAGCAAACACAAUAUUGUUCCAUUAAGGUGGUGUAAUGCACAAUUAAUUUCAUUCCCCUUGCGCUUUUGCUCGUCGUCAGUUAUCCAUUGGCUGGGGCUAGUAAUUCAAUGGACUGUACGGCACAUGAACUGGAGGAUUACUAUGUAGUCAUUCCGUCCACGGUUUGCUACACGUCACAACCCUGUCCAGCGC
rnacentral:lncRNA from 1 species